rnacentral:rRNA from 1 species
UGGAGCUGAAAUCAGUCGAAGAUACCAGCUGGCUGCAACUGUUUAUUAAAAACACAGCACUGUGCAAACACGAAAGUGGACGUAUACGGUGUGACGCCUGCCCGGUGCCGGAAGGUUAAUUGAUGGGGUUAUCCUCGCGGAGAAGCUCUUGAUCGAAGCCCCGGUAAACGGCGGCCGUAACUAUAACGGUCCUAAGGUAGCGAAAUUCCUUGUCGGGUAAGUUCCGACCUGCACGAAUGGCGUAAUGAUGGCCAGGCUGUCUCCACCCGAGACUCAGUGAAAUUGAACUCGCUGUGAAGAUGCAGUGUACCCGCGGCAAGACGGAAAGACCCCGUGAACCUUUACUAUAGCUUGACACUGAACACUGGUCCUUGAUGUGUAGGAUAGGUGGGAGGCUUUGAAGUGUGGACGCCAGUCUGCAUGGAGCCAUCCUUGAAAUACCACCCUUUAAUGGCUGGUGUUCUAACGUGGGCCCCUAAUCGGGGUUGCGGACAGUGUCUGGUGGGUAGUUUGACUGGGGCGGUCUCCUCCUAAAGAGUAACGGAGGAGCACGAAGGUCAGCUAAUCCUGGUCGGACAUCAGGAGGUUAGUGCAAUGGCAUAAGCUGGCUUGACUGCGAGCGUGACGGCGCGAGCAGGUGCGAAAGCAGGUCAUAGUGAUCCGGUGGUUCUGAAUGGAAGGGCCAUCGCUCAACGGAUAAAAGGUACUCCGGGGAUAACAGGCUGAUACCGCCCAAGAGUUCAUAUCGACGGCGGUGUUUGGCACCUCGAUGUCGGCUCAUCACAUCCUGGGGCUGAAGUAGGUCCCAAGGGUAUGGCUGUUCGCCAUUUAAAGUGGUACGCGAGCUGGGUUUAGAACGUCGUGAGACAGUUCGGUCCCUAUCUGCCGUGGGCGCUGGAGAAUUGAGGGGGGCUGCUCCUAGUACGAGAGGACCGGAGUGGACGCAUCACUGGUGUUCGGGUUGUCAUGCCAAUGGCAUUGCCCGGUAGCUAAAUGCGGAAGAGAUAAGUGCUGAAAGCAUCUAAGCACGAAACUUGCCCCGAGAUGAGUUCUCCCUGAC